rnacentral:lncRNA from 1 species
GAGGUAAGUCAAAUACUGUUAAUCUAUUGGGUGUUUUACUAUGAAAAUCAUAUAUCUUCUUGUUUAUUAACAUGUUAGGAAUUAUAUCGUUAGUUCUGAAAGCAGUUAAAUAAUUUGUGUUUUGAGAUAACAACCCUUUCUUUAAUGUCCAUUCUAGUGGACACCAAGACCAUCUUCAUGUACUUAAUGACUCAACAUUGUUGCAGGAGACAGAACUGAAGCAGAACGUAUUCUGUACCAGAUAUUUGAGGGAGAUUCAGAUGUGGAGCUGUCAGAUGAUGAGAGAGAUGAGAACUUCACACUAUUGAUAGAAGAACUUGAAGAAGAAGAGGAAGAAGAUGCAGGAGGCUCAGAUGAGCAGACAGAUACAGACACAGAGACAGAUAGGGACGAGCAGGAUAGACGUCGGCCUCUGUGGGCCAAGAGUAGCAUAUUCACACCUGUGCUACCUGGGCUUCCUGACAGUCAAGAUGACCCUACAACCCAUGCAGACUGGAGUCCAAUUCAGUACUUUUCCCAGUACACUGACAACAAAGUCUUUGAAUAUCUGGCAGCAUUUACCAAUCAAAGAGAGUUACAAACUAGAGGAGUGUCACUGAAAACUACUCCAGAAGUAAUUAAGAUCUUCUUUGGCAUAUCAGUCCACAUGGCCUGCCUAGGCUAUCCCAUAAUCAAAAUGUUUUGCGCCAAAAAAACAAAAGUGCCAGUUAUAAGCAGCAAAAUGGCAAGGGAUAGGUUAUUCAAGCUGAGAAGCUCACUCAAGACUGUUGAUGACCUGGCUGUAACGGAGGAAACAAAGAAGGCAGAUAUUCUUUGGAGAGUCAGGCGAUUACUUGACCGUGUGAGGCAAGGCUGUCUUGGUCUUCCAAAGACUGAGAAGGUCUGCAUCGAUGAGCAAAUCAUCCCAUUCAUAGGCCGGUGUCCAGUCAGGCAAUAUGUUCAGAAAGAGUCCUGAGCUGGCUAUCACAAAAUGGUUUGACAACAUACCAGUGCUGAUGGCUUCCACUGUACAUGGCAAAGAACCUGAAGAUACCUGCACCAGAUGGUCCAAGAAAUAAAAAGUUCAUCUCCAGGUGAGAAGACCGGCAGUGA